rnacentral:rRNA from 1 species
UACGGGGGGGACAAGUGUUACUCAGCAUUAUUGGGCGUAAAGGGUGCGUAGGUCGUUUAAUAAGUUAAAGCUAAAAUUCAAGAGCUCAACUUUUGGAAUGUUUUUAAUACUGUUAAACUCGAGUAUAAAUAAGGAUAGUAGUAUUUUUAGUGUAGAGGUAAAAUUCGUAAAUAUUAAAAAGACUAACGGUAGGCGAAGGCAACUAUCUAGUUUAUUCUGACGCUGAGGCACGAAAGCAUGGGGAGCAAACAGG